UAUUAAUUUUGCUGCAUUAUUGAUGGUAUAUGGAAAUAUUUGAACUUUGGAGAGUUCCACGAAUUUAAGAAAUAUAAAUUAUUACACACAGAGAAAUGAUUGCUUUCGUAUGCGUAAGUGGGAAUGUAGUUCAUUUAGGUGGCCUUUUUCAAGGAAGAAAAGUAUUAAUGGACAUUGGCAUGGAUGACAAUUUUUUAAGAUGACGAACUCUUGUGGUUUAUUCUCUGUGCGGAUCACUGAAUGAGCAACUGCUCCAAAAUUGUUCGCGGUAGGGUCUUUUCUAUGAUGAUGUUCCUGCAGGCAAAACUUACGAUAAUUCUCCAGUGCAAAUAUAGUUAUAAAAACUUUCCUUUGGAUUCCUAGUUUGAACUACGGAAGAUCGAGAACUAGAGAUUCUAUCGCUAAAAGUGAAAUCCCGAUUCCACUUCUAGAUUAUUUGAAAAAUUACAUCUAAGUUUAUGCUAGCAAUUGGAUAACCCAAUCCUCAAUGGCCAACAAUAGAAUUAGUAAUGCAAAUGGUUUUUGGUAUUUGGUAUGUAUAUAUAAAGUAGAUGUAAGGCUUUUAAAUGUGAUUUGUAUUUUCAUUUUC